UCAGAAUCUUUACAGAGCCUCCAGCAGUAGAGGCUUGGCCUCCAGAAGGACCUUCCAGAACCCAGUGCAGUCCCACCUAGGACAUCUAUACCCUCCACCCCAGCAGAGACAGCCCAGCCCCUUCCCUCAGCCCUGGGGAGCCGGGCCCAGGCAGCUCCUGCCUCCUUUUAGCAGCUCUGACCUUUCUUUUAAGCCCCAAGUCUGGCACCCUGGUAACCUGCACUCCACAGUCCCUGGUUUCCCCCGGGGCCCCUCAGCCAGAAAUUCCAUGGGAUUUGACUUGAGGGCCCAGGAGACAUGGGAGAUCUGGCUAUGAGAAAAGGGACGAGGACUCCCUGUUGCAUCAUCUCCUCAGCCUUGGGUGAAAGGCAGCAGAGUAGGAGAAAGGCACUGGUGAAGCUUCCAAACAGUUUCAUAAUGAGGUCCUGAAGGCCCACAAUGAGUAUCGGCAGAAGCAUGGCGUCCCCCCACUGAAGCUCUGCAAGAAGCUCAACCGGGAGGCUCAACAGUAUUCUGAAGCCCUGGCCAGCACGAGGAUCCUCAAGCACAGCCCAGAGUCCAGCCGCGGCCAGUGUGGGGAGAACCUCGCAUGGGCAUCCUACGAUCAGACAGGAAAGGAGGUGGCUGAUAGAUGGUACAGUGAAAUCAAGAACUAUAACUUCCAGCAGCCUGGCUUCACCUCGGGGACUGGACACUUCACGGCCAUGGUAUGGAAGAACACAAAGAAGAUGGGCGUGGGGAAGGCGUCCGCAAGUGACGGAUCCUCCUUUGUGGUGGCCAGAUACUUCCCAGCAGGGAAUGUUGUCAACGAGGGCUUCUUCGAAGAAAACGUCCUGCCACCAAAGAAGUAACUUGUUAAAUGUAAUGGGAAGGUGGCAGACUUAAGAACGUGGAUAUGAAGUGCCUAGAACAACCAAAACCCGGCUGUGCGUCUGUCCCUGUGGGUGUAUGUGCUUGUGUGUGUGAUGCAUGUGAGUGUUUCUGGUACACACACUUGGGCAUACAGUUCUGCGUGAGCUCAUUCUUACUACAGGAGUGAGCAAAGGAAGCGUUUAUCCCGAUCGUUACCUAGACCACGAUUAUUUGGAUUGGGGGGGGGCGGGGAAUCCGUUUUUUAAAUUUUUUGUUAUUUUUAAGCAAACUUCUUUUGUACUUUUCUUACUUCUAAUAUCCAUCCCUGGACUUUCUGUAUUCCAAAUGUUUGUGAUGCUGAGAAGUGAAGUUCAUUUUAUGUGAUCUUCAUGCGCCGUAAUCUACUUUUGGUAGAUAAUUAAGAUUAUUAAACCCUCAUUUAAAUGUGACAUAAAAUACAGCUUUAAGCACAUAAAUAUAAAGCAGCUUCCAUCAGGAACAUGGAGCAGGCAGGGGCUCCAUUUUACAGAAUUACUGAGAUUUCUCAGUUGUAAAACAUGAUGUCAUCCUGCGUGCCUUCUGGAAUUCUCCAAUGGGGUCGCCAAAGAACAAAUGGAGAAAAAAAGCUUUACUUCCUUGCAUUCUUCUACCUUUAAAUAGCAAAGUACCACUACCACCACCUCUUGCCCCCUUCCCUCUUUUCUUAAACUUCUGGCAUUUCAGAGCUCAGCAGGCUACCCCUGGUUUCUGGAGAGUUGGGCUAGGCCUGAAGCUCUCCCUCCCCCACCUCUGCUAGGCAGCCCAGGCCCGGGCUGGGAGACAGCCCCUCACCCUGCCUGGGCUCUUGGCCAAGCAGCCUUGGAUGGAUGAAGUCAGAGAGGUGGAGUGAGGGUGAGUUUACUCAGAGCCCCCAGAGGAAGCCCUCCACCCUCUGCCCUCCCCCCACACAGGGCGGGAGCCCAGGCCUGUUCCUGGCAGCUGUGGCUGCAGCUGUGCUGCUGCUCCCUCCUGGAAUGUGUGACAAGCCCAAAUGUUCCAGGGAGAUGGCCGGGGUAGGGGGCUUAGAAAUGCUAAUAUGGUUCUGUGUUUUGCCUGAAACGAUACCAGGUUCCCCUGAAUAGCAACUUUACAAGGUCCAUGUGGGAGGGACCAACCCAGAUGCCCUGCCAAGUGUCCCUGAAACCAUGGUAGCUCCGUCUGUCAAGAUGGCAGGGGCGGGAGUGAGGGGGCUGCUGGCUUAACCGCAGGCAUCUGGGCAGGCCAGUCCUCAAAGCAGCUCCUGAGGGUCUGUAUUGCACUGUGACCAGUCUCAAGCUAUGCCUCUAAUUUCGCCGGGGAUAUUGGCUAGGAAGACAAUAAAAUCUUUUUCUUUGUGUAAUAUCCUC